AUUGAACGCUGGCGGCAUGCUUUACACAUGCAAGUCGAACGGCAGCACGGACUUCGGUCUGGUGGCGAGUGGCGAACGGGUGAGUAAUACAUCGGAACGUACCGUGUAAUGGGGGAUAACGAGUCGAAAGAUUCGCUAAUACCGCAUACGUCCUAAGGGAGAAAGCGGGGGAUCGCAAGACCUCGCGUUAUACGAGCGGCCGAUGGCUGAUUAGCUAGUUGGUGGGGUAAAGGCCUACCAAGGCGACGAUCAGUAGCGGGUCUUAGAGGACGAUCCGCCACACUGGAACUGAGACACGGUCCAGACUCCUACGGGAGGCAGCAGUGGGGAAUCUUGGACAAUGGGCGCAAGCCUGAUCCAGCCAUUCCGCGUGAGUGAAGAAGGCCUUCGGGUUGUAAAGCUCUUUCGCAAGGGAAGAAAACUUAGUUACUAAUAUUAACUGAGGUUGACGGUACCUUGAUAAGAAGCACCGGCUAACUACGUGCCAGCCGCCGCGGUAAUAC
rnacentral:rRNA from 1 species